AGAGUUUGAUCAUGGCUCAGAUUGAACGCUGGCGGAAUGCUUUACACAUGCAAGUCGAACGGCAGCACGGACUUCGGUCUGGUGGCGAGUGGCGAACGGGUGAGUAAUAUAUCGGAACGUAUCCAAUAAUGGGGGAUAACUAAUCGAAAGGUUGGCUAAUAUCGCAUACGCCCUACGGGGGAAAGCUAGGGACCUUCGGGCCUGGCGUUAAUGGAGCGGCCGAUAUCUGAUUAGCUAGUUGGUGAGGUAAAGGCUCACCAAGGCGACGAUCAGUAGCUGGUCUGAGAGGACGACCAGCCACACUGGAACUGAGACACGGUCCAGACUCCUACGGGAGGCAGCAGUGGGGAAUUUUGGACAAUGGGCGAAAGCCUGAUCCAGCCAUUCCGCGUGAGUGAAGAAGGCCUUCGGGUUGUAAAGCUCUUUCGCAAGGGAAGAAAGAUUACUCUCUAACAUAGAGUAAUUAUGACGGUACCUUGAUAAGAAGCACCGGCUAACUACGUGCCAGCAGCCGCGGUAAUACGUAGGGUGCGAGCGUUAAUCGGAAUUACUGGGCGUAAAGCGUGCGCAGGCCGUUUUGUAAGUCAGAUGUGAAAUCCCCGAGCUCAACUUGGGAACUGCGUUUGAAACUACAAGACUAGAAUAUGUCAGAGGGGGGUAGAAUUCCACGUGUAGCAGUGAAAUGCGUAGAGAUGUGGAGGAAUACCAAUGGCGAAGGCAGCCCCCUGGGAUAAUAUUGACGCUCAUGCACGAUAGCGUGGGGAGCAAACAGGAUUAGAUACCCCGGUAGUCC
rnacentral:rRNA from 1 species